CACAGUGGCCCUUUGCGGAUAGAUAGGGAUGUCCUAUGGUAUCUGAUUAUACAGCACAAGGAAUAAUGACAAAGCCAAAGCUGUGGCCCUGUCCUCACUGCCAGAAGCGAAAUUCUGCCAAUUCCAAAAGUUGCAGACACUGUUUUGCAAACUUAAGUUUAAGGCAGAGAUGCAAAGAGAGGGAAGUCCAACUUCUGGCUGGACAAUAGGGAGAGACCAACCUGAAGCACAGAAAGCCAGCCGGGUGAUAGACUCUGCUCGUAUUACAGUUAGAAAACUGGAAGCACUAGGCUUGAAGCCUUUUCUUUUCAUUUGAAAGAAAGGCAAGAAAGGGAAUGUCACAGCGGAUGUUAUCACCUCUGUGGGUCCUGUUUUGGAUGGGCCACUUAAAGACAUUUUUAGUAAAAUGACCAGCUUGUAUAAAUACUUUUUGAAAAGUCAUGCAAUGCUUCUGGCAGCCACCACAACAGCAGACUCUGGGAAUUCUCCACAAACACUUCCUGAAGAUUCUGCUCCUGAUACCGAUACACCCCAUGAAGAGACAUACUCUUCAACUACUGAUGCACCCAGUGAUACAGAGCACUAUGUGCUUAAUCUAAUCCCCAUCCCACCCUUUCAAACACCCUCUCUCCUCACAGAGCCUGCAUCUGUUACCUCUCUCCUCACUCCACCCAUUUCUGCUACCUCUCCUCUCACCCCACCUACAUCAGCUACCUCUCCUCUCAACCCACCUACAUCAGCUACCUCUCCUCUCACCCCACCUACAUCAGCUACCACUGGCUAAGUGUCCGGAUUUAACAGGACACAGCUAAAGAGUCACCCCAGAGCCGCCAAAUUGGGCUCGUUUGAAAAUGGCAGUAGCGGCCAAAACGACUGACUACAGACAGGAGAAAAUUAACGGCCUUAUGAGCGGAUAAACGAACCGCCGUAGGAGUGUUUGAAUGGCUGUAAACCCGGACAGAGAGCGCAGACAGAGAGGAGUUUGCAGGUUUCAGGCCAAAUUUGGAUUUUGUUUUGGGCUCCUUUCAGAAUGAACCGUGGCCGAGGAAUCGCCGUAUGAGUGUAUGAACAGCCGUAAAUUUGAGUACACACAGGCAGGUACAGUAGAGUACAGCUGAGAGACACAGAGAGAGAGAGAUGCAGUAAAGAUUAGCUAUAAAAAAUACAUUCAAACAAACAAAGAAGAAAGCUAAAAGUUUAAUGAUGUCUAUCAGGAGUAUUUGGACAAGUUAUAAU